rnacentral:rRNA from 1 species
AAGGUUUCCGUAGGUGAACCUGCGGAAGGAUCAUUACCGAGUGUAGGGUUCCUAGCGAGCCCAACCUCCCACCCGUGUUUACUGUAACCUUAGUUGCUUCGGCGGGCCCGCCUUUAAGGCCGCCGGGGGGCAUCAGCCCCCGGGCCCGCGCCCGCCGGAGACACCACGAACUCUGUCUGAUCUAGUGAAGUCUGAGUUGAUUGUAUCGCAAUCAGUUAAAACUUUCAACAAUGGAUCUCUUGGUUCCGGCAUCGAUGAAGAACGCAGCGAAAUGCGAUAACUAGUGUGAAUUGCAGAAUUCCGUGAAUCAUCGAGUCUUUGAACGCACAUUGCGCCCCCUGGUAUUCCGGGGGGCAUGCCUGUCCGAGCGUCAUUGCUGCCCAUCAAGCACGGCUUGUGUGUUGGGUCGUCGUCCCCUCUUCGGGGGGGACGGGCCCCAAAGGCAGCGGCGGCACCGCGUCCGAUCCUCGAGCGUAUGGGGCUUUGUCACCCGCUCUGUAGGCCCGGCCGGCGCUUGCCGAACGCAAAACAACCAUUCUUUCCAGGUUGACCUCGGAUCAGGUAGG